GAAAAAAUUAAACGAUUAGUGAAAAAGUGCAGUGUAGAAUAAAUGAAACAGUAGUGUACUAUCGUAGUAAGCUGAGGUAAGUGUAGUUCACCGAAAAUACGUGUUUGUUUUUUGUCCGCCGCAGCAUCCGCAGCAUCGUGAUCGUGACGCAGUUACUGAUAUUAUGAAGGAACACCGGAUGAUAAGAAAGGCUAUGGGAUGAAGAUGCCCAUAAUUCCAUAUUAAACUUUGACGAGAAUGUGUCGUGUCGUGCCGAGUUGCCAAGUACUGUAACCUGCAUCUGCCGACCUUUCUGCGCUCGGUGACCCGUACGGGGGGGAGAAGACCUUCGAGCAGGCACUGAAGGAUGCGCUUAACUUUCGAACGAAGUGAAGUGAUCGAUUGAAUGAUUUGUGCAGCAACGACAGCAACCGUGAUGAGUGAUAACCGUGCCGAAACAACCGACCGUAUAUCAGCUACAAACAGCACAGAAAUCUGCGGCAGAAAACCGAGCAUCAGUAGUAAGAUUGUAGAGUUUGGUUUCAGUUUCGACUUGUUGCCCAGAGGGCUUGAUGAUGUGGCUGCGAGCGUGAUGACCGACAGCAUCAAGUGCUAUAAAGCGGUCAACGAGCUGAACAUCACUGACACACUGCAGAUGACGAGCUAAACGGCGACGGCUUGUAUGGCGCCACAUCGCGUGUUGAAAAUGCGGAGCAUAUACUCUUCGAGUGCCCGCGCUUUAAUGGAGAACGGCAAGCGCUACUGGCUUUCGAGGAGGGGGCGCUUACACCGGACAAUCUACUAAGCAACCUGCUCCACAGCGAGGAUCGGUGGUCCUCGAUCUCGGCAGUGGUGAAAAGAAUUAUGGACGAGCUCCAGCGGCAGUGGCAGGAAUACACUCAAAUACCACCGGACGCGGGCAGCUGGAACGCGGAACUGGAAGCAGCAGCAGCCGCUCGUCAAGAAGCGCAAAGGCUGCGCAAGAACGAGAGACAGAGAGAGGCUAAUGCCAGGAGGCGGCAGCGCGGGGCAAACGAGGAACAACAGGCGUGAUCACGCCUUCAGUUCUUUGCGGCCGAGCUACCUAGUGGUUAACCUAUCAAGAUUUAAGUUAUCCCACUCGCGAUUUGCCAUACCAGGAAUAGAGAAGUGGGUGGGAUGAUAUGCUGUACAGAGGUAGGCGGUGCUGUGAUAUUGUCAUUUUACACUAAUAAACCGCCGAACUGGCCUGAUAUAAAAAAAAAAAAAAUGGCGCCACCGAAGGCGAAGCAUCCUACCAACUUGCCAUACGAUCCCUUGGUGCAAAAGUGACGAAACACUGCCUGCUGCCUCAGCAGGAUAACUUUCCACAGCUUGCAAGCCAUCUAGCACCGGGAGAUGCACAGAACGGGGCGCUCCAUGGGAAGGUUGUCAAUGAUCUGAGCCGCUCAUCAACACCGACUACGAUGGUAGCGAUCUAUCUACAACCAUUAACAUCAACAUGAACAACAGCAUCAUCAUCGGGCGCAAUAGCAGCAUCUGUUACAUCAUGUGCAGUAGACACAGCAGCCGGUGCAAGUACCUCAUCCGAUGAUACGUGGAGAACUAGUCACCGGUACGCAGAAUGGUGGAGGUGAAGGAUGCGAACCUCGAUUCGAACAAAGAUGCUCCGUUGCCAGCCGGUACGUGAAUGGUGCCGGUGGUGUGCCGAAGGAAAUCGCCGGUCGUUGAGUGGAGUGCGGAGACGAUAGAGGACGUCAAUGCGACUACAGCGAUGCUUGCCCUGAAGCAUGGACCGAAAAUUGUCAUCGAAAACUCCUUCCGUAAUGGCACGCCACCGGCUAUUACGACAUCAACGCGGCGCGGGAGAACGAUCGGCUACGGGCCUGAUCUUCAAUAGGGGGGACCCUCUGCUGAUCGGGAAUGGUAGCAGCUGCUGCUCGUCAUCCGACGAACGGAUUCACAAUGAAUUGCUGCGGCAUGAACUGACGCAUCAUCCGCUUCAUCACCACCACCAUUCGAAUCAGCAUCACAGUGAGGUUCAGUAACGGUACCUCAUCGAAUGCUGCUUACGGAAACAGCGAGGAAAGCCACCAUCCACAUCAUGCAUCGGCCAAGGAUGUGGAGGAAUGCAUCGGCCAAUGAUAUGCUCUCUCCUCGCCAGACUCGUCGAACGGUUUGUUACAGCGAUCGGCACCGAACGAUUCGUACAGUGGCACCCCGAUUGGCCAUCAUCACCAUCACCACCAUAAUCGGCAGUAUCUCGUUGUCUCACCGGAUUAACGGACAAUGCGGAUAGCAAACGGUGCCGGCACUCCUCGACCCUAUUAUCCGCAUAACCUCGGCAUGGAGUACGGUGGCCCAGCACCACCGUCACUGCCAGGUACGGGUACCACGGUGGUACCCCAUACUACCCAAGCAACCAAGGAGAACAAAU